UCUUUCGAGGUCGAUAAAUUAAGAACCAGAGAAACACUGGGUCGAUGCAACCGACUAGUACCCUACCAUCAAAUUCCAG